GAUCGGGAGAGUGACUCGCGCACAAGAAACGGGACGAACAGUAAUUUCAGCACUGCGCAAGCUCAGGAGAACAGUCGUAUCUUUGUUGAUACAGGUCGGAUCAACCUGAUUCCAAAGCCAAAUGAACAAAGACUUCUGGAUCUACAAUUUCGGUGUUUUGGGUUUUCUGAAAUAAGCACUGUAGGAUAGUCGAAAUUGGGUUGGAAGUAACGAACAGAACAUGAAAAGAUAGGAACUUCGUUGGUUGCUCUUCUAGGCCUCCAAGGAAGUUGAGGGGCACCGAUUCUUCU
rnacentral:lncRNA from 1 species